UACAGAGGUCUCGAGCGUUAGGCGGAAUCACUGGGCUUAAAGCGUGUGUAGGUGGAUCGUUAAGUACCUUGUGAAAUCCCACGGCUUAACCGUGGAACUGCUUGGUAUACUGGCGGUCUUGAGUCAGCUAGGGGCUACCGGAACAAAUGGUGGAGCGGUGAAAUGCGUAGAUAUCAUUUGGAACGCCAAUGGUGAAAACAGGUAGCUGGGGCUGUGCUGACGCUGAGACACGAAAGCCAGGGGAGCAAACGGG
rnacentral:rRNA from 1 species